CCUCCCAAAGUGCUGGGAUUACAGGCAUGAACCACCGCACCCAGCCUGAGUUUCUUUUUAAAAACAACAGUCUAAGUACACGAUAGUAUAAUCCUGUCUUUUUUGUACACAGAGUAAAGAGGACAAAUAGGAGAAAGGAUAAAUGAAAGGCUGGAAUCCCACUUCCCCUGCUGUCCCAGGGCAUUGGAUAUUGACCGAUAGGAGGAAGCAAACCACUCACAGAGCCAGGAAGAAAUGAAUGCGUUGGUAUUGCCAGGAGAAGAGGCCGACCCGGCUAAAAUACGCUAUGACCAUAGCCAGGAGAUACUGAUGGAGAGAAAGGAACACAAAAAGGGAGAGGUCACAUCUUGGAAGAGGAAGAUUGUGGAGAGGGGGAAUGAGGGUCUGGGGAAGGGCUGCACCUCAGAGAAGGGACCUCAGUGUUGGAGUAGCUGUACUCAUUUGGAAAUGGCGGGGUGGAGGGAUAUUCGAAGGUCGGAUGCAAAUCCGAGAAGCCAGUGGAAGGGUUUUCGGUGAUGCUCCCAGGAUGGUGGACUCCAGAUGGGAUCUUUGGAGGGGGUGUGUCUAGGUGGGCUGGUGUCCGGAGGGUCUUUUGUGUGCCAGGCAGAGAACUGUCCCAAAGAGCAGAAAGUAGAGGGGCCAGGAGCUUCAGGGCUGCGGCCAGACUGUGGCCCAGGGCUCAGAUCCCAGAGGACCCAUAGGAGGGAUGGGCUAUUCAUUCACUUGGCAAGAGACCAGCAGAGUCCUGAGGGAGAUGCUGACAUCAUAAAAAGACCAAGAACAGCUGGGAGUGGCAGCUCAAGCCUGUGAUGCCGGUACUUUGAGAGGUGGAGACAGGAGGAUUAUGUGAGCCCAACAGUUCGAGAACAACCUGGGCAACAUAGAGAGACCCUGUUUCUACAAAGAUUUCAAAAAUUAGUUGAGCAUGGUAGCAUGUGCUAGUCCCAGCUCCUCAGGAGACUGAGGCAAGAGGAUUGCUUGAGCCCAGGAGUUAGAGGCUUCAGUGA